UACGUAGGGGGCAAGCGUUGUCCGGAUUUAUUGGGCGUAAAGAGCGUGUAGGCGGCCAGACAGGUCCGUUGUGAAAACUCGAGGCUCAACCUCGAGACGCCGAUGGAAACCGUCUGGCUAGAGUCCGGAAGAGGAGAGUGGAAUUCCUGGUGUAGCGGUGAAAUGCGCAGAUAUCAGGAAGAACACCCGUGGCGAAGGCGGUUCUCUGGGACGGUACUGACGCUGAGACGCGAAAGCGUGGGGAGCAAACAGG
rnacentral:rRNA from 1 species